rnacentral:rRNA from 1 species
CAGUCGCCGCGGUAAUACGAAGGGGGCUAGCGUUGCUCGGAAUGACUGGGCGUAAAGGGCGCGUAGGCGGUUUGUACAGUUGGAUGUGAAAUUCCUGGGCUUAACCUGGGGGCUGCAUUUAAUACGUGCAGGCUUGAGUGUGGAAGAGGGUUGUGGAAUUCCCAGUGUAGAGGUGAAAUUCGUAGAUAUUGGGAAGAACACCGGUGGCGAAGGCGGCAACCUGGUCCAUUACUGACGCUGAGGCGCGAAAGCGUGGGGAGCAAACAGGAUUAGAUACCCCCGUAGUCCCUGUCUCUUAUAC